GCCGCCGCCAGGCAAGGGUCACGUUGAUUAUCAGUGAGCAAAAUAAAUCUUGUGUUGCAGAUAUCAUUUAUCAAUCAUAAUAUAGAAAGGAUUGUACGAGGAGUGUGGCACGUGUGGACCAGAGAAGUCAAGGCAUGGCUCGGCCACUAUCCUGACGGCCGACGAUGGGGAAGGUGACCUAUACAACGCAUCCGUCUCACUGGAGGGACGCCAGCUGCUGGAAGUGGACAAGCAGGAAGGUGUUCAUGUCGGAGGCUCUCCGGAGUACCUGGGUGUGAGUGUCUUCAAGAUCAAGGGCGACUACCAUGAUGGUUGUAUUGACGACGUGAGGAUCUCGGCGAGAAGUGUACCACUUCCCCCAGCGGUCAACAACACCGCUUGGGGCCAGGCCAGCAUGUUCAAGGGCGUAGAGCGGGGCUGUGAAGCGUCAUCCGCUUGCACUAACAUCUCCUGCAAGGCACCCCUCAUAUGCGUCGACACCUGGAGGUCCUACCACUGUGGGUGUGGUGAGGGCCGAGUUCUGUCAGCGUCGAGAACAAACUGCGAGGAUGAAUAGAGUGCCUUUGGGAACCAUGCCUCAAUGGUGCCACUUGCUUCAACAAACACUCAGGUAAUCCACA
rnacentral:misc_RNA from 1 species